CGCUCCGGCUUGGCCCCCGCGGUGGGUGGGCGGGCGCCCGGCCGCUGCUCCGCCCGCGCGCAAGGGAGAGCUAUUUCGGGAGCGCCGCCGGGCGAGCCAAAGAUAGCGCGGGCGGGAAGUAUUUAUAGCGCGGCGCCUCCGCCGCCGCCGCCGCCGCUUUUCCGGGGCGGGGAGAGGAAAAUGCCGAGCCGGAGCCUCUGCCCCCGGGGCGAGAGCCGGAGCAGGGAUUCCCCGCGCGGGCGGGGGAGGCGGAGACGCCGGGGCUGCCCCGGGCCAGCCUGACGCAAUGGCGAGCGGACGGGGAUCUCCCUGCCGGGGCGGAGCCGCCAAGCUGGGUGCCGCUCCUUGCCCGGAGGGGGCCGCUGCCCUCUCGCCAAGGGAAAGGGACUUGCAGCCGCCGAGUCCAGAAAGCCGGAGCGGGACCAAACAACCUCCUGCACCCCUCCGGGCACUUGCUCGGGCGCAUCUGGGGGCAGCGCUGGAACGGCAGAUCCGCGAUCGGUGGAGACGCGGGGGCGGACAUGAGGAUGUGCCGUGCACGUGCACGCAGAAGAAAGCCUCCCUGAAGUCAUAGAGGAUUGGCUCCCUAAUAAAUACCCGUAGAAUUGCAGCCCGACCCUACCUGUGUUUACUCGGAAGUAAGCCCCACUGACUUCUAUUGGAUUUGCUAGCAGGGUUGAGCGCUGAUACUGAAAAUCCAUGCUGAGCCCUGACACAAAUUAAGGCCAAGCAACAAUGAGGAAAUGUAACAGGGAAGAGCAACUCAAAGGCAACUUGGAGGGCCCCUCUGUGAACUGGGUGUCUAUAUAUUGGAUUCAUUGCUUUUUCUCAAACGGGACAGUCAAGUAUCUGGGAAGCUGCCUGAUUCAGCGGACAACUGCUUAGAAGCCACUUUGGCAAGGCCAUAGUCAUGGUUAAGUGAAGUCAACUGAAUUGCAUCCCACCAUUACAAUGAGAAAUUGGGAGGGGAGUUGAUGGUUCAACAGAUCGGCAGUGUGGAAGCAGUAAGUAUGAAGGUGGUUUCUGCUGAACUUGGGGUAGAAAAGAGAGGAAAUGGGUUAUUUUGAAUUAGUUAAAUGACAUGUAUUGUGCAUUUUUCUUCCAUAGACUUUGCUGGGGUGGAUUUUCCAGAAUGAUUUAUCCAAUUAUUUUGGGGUGUAUCCAGCUAGGUUCUGCUCAAGAGUAGAUGUAUGGAAAUUAAUGGACCUAAGUUAGUCGUGUCAUUAAUUUUGGUGGGUCUGCUUUGAGUAGGUUUAACAUUGGAUACAAUCCAAUGCAUUUUGGGGAAAUGGGUCAUUGUUUUAGGUCAGUUGGUUGUACUUGUACCCAUGAGUUGUGUUUGUAAUUUUUAUUUAAAAGGCACUUUGUUGUCCAGUGUAAUCAAUGGACUUGUUGGGGCUACUGUUGCUAGGCAGAACUUCUGGCCAGUCUGGGACAAUAGAGGCUUGCUGUUACUAGGCAGGAUUCUCACAUCCCAAACUUCAGCCUUCAGUUUGCAGUUCAGGUAGAAGUUAGGUAUGAAAGGAGGUGGGGAAAGCAAAUCACAGGAGAUAAAUAGAAAUAGUUUGAGAAGACUGGGGAGAGGGAAAGGAAAAUAAUAUCACAGAUGCGCAGCAACUGGAUUCCAUUUUUUAUUGAAAAAAAUAUUUUUAUUGCUUUUAUAUAUAAUAAACUAUAGCAAAACAUAAGAAGCAUGAAGCGGGGACCAGGUGUACAAGCAAAAAACAGGAUGUAUACCAAAUUUUCACAUAUUAAUGUCCAAAAUGUUUUUUUCUGCUAUAUAGGGAGUUAGUUACAUGUAUAUAAAUCCAAAGCACUAUCAACAACAAAGUAAGGAGACUUUCAGAUUUCUGUGUCUAGAAGCCCAUAUGUGGAGGCAAGCUGGAGAAAGGUCCACCCCUCCUUGAUUUGUUUAAGGAACAAACCUUUGCCUUGUGGCAUAAAAUGCAUCAGGUGUCUUUAGUCCUUUUAGUGUUCUCACUUGGUGGGUUAUCUUGCCCAGAGUUGCUGUUUUCGACAUAUUUCUAUGCCACAAUGUUAAUGUCCAAGUUCGUUGAGGUUUUCCGUAUUUGGGCAGUUGAUGCAUGGGCUGCAGCAUUGAGAAAGAUGUGCAAUUCUUUAAAUUUAAUGUCAGUCUUAGGACCCACAAUUAUACGUAAUAGUAGCCAUUGAGGAGUACAUUCAUUGUAUUCCUUUAGUACCGAUAUAUUAGCUGUUUCCCAGAACAGAGCUACUAGGCAAUACCCCGUUCCUACAAUUUUGCCAACAAGCCAGUGAAAUCUCUGAUGUUACGUGAGGACGUGGCACAGGUGUCCUGCCCUACCUGUGCCAAAGCUUAAUUGUACUCUCUCGCUCUAAUGUAUGCUGGCAGAGGGUCAUAUCCAGCUCUGCUGUUCUGCUAUCUCAGGAGACUUCAGCUUGCAAAGUGAGACUUUCCCCAUCCCUCCUCUCCCUAGCAGCCUCAAAAUCAGCUCCAGAGGGCUGGAACAUCACCUGGGGAAGAUUUUGAGGGUGUAAAAGGAGAGAAGAGGAAACUUCAUUGUGUGAGUGGAAAUUAGUGCAUGCCGUGUUGGAUGCAACCCACAGGCUGGAAAGUUUUGAAUUCCCACAUCUUAACUCUGAUGACUACUAGCUGUUGUGAUUAAUAGGUAAAAGGUAAAGGACCUUUGGAUGGUUAAGUAAAGUCAAAGGUGACUGAGGUUGCGGUGCUCAUCUCGCUUUCAGGCCGAGGGAGACGGUGUUUAUCCACAGACAGCUUUCUGGGUCAUGUGGCCAGC